AACACGAGUACUUAGUUACACGAAUAAACACAUGGUUCAUUGCCGUCGUAUUGUGCGUGUAGCUCAUCGCGUGAGGCCUCGUCCACAGGGGGGCCGCUGUUGUCUCUGAAUCUGUGGGAUCGGCGGCCGUGAAGAAGCUUUUCCUGCACAAACCAGCCGAUUCUGUUGGGAGACGCGAGACGAGCGUCUCACAAACGCAUGAAGCGCUGAAUGUCGCGCAGCGAUUGUGUGUUUUUGUGUCGCUGCGGGCGGCGAGUCCCACGACGAACGCUCUUCUAGUCCAAUUAGCUCCUCUUGGUCCCUCCCGGGCCCUCUGAGGAGCACGUAUCUAAAACAACAACCCCCCGUCCCCUCCGAGGGGCAGAUUGAAGACAAAAUGAAUACAAGUUUGUUGUGAUCGCCUUUAAACGUUGAAGCCUCGGGUUUAAAUACGCCACAUUUUAGUUGCUAAAUAGAGGAAGAGGCUAAAACGUGAGCGCCUUCUUCAAGAGAGAAGCGACACAUAUCGACCCGUGUGUGUAUUGUGUGUGUGUGUGUGUGUGUGUCUGUGCCCUGCAGAGGGCUUGUAUGCAUGCAGAUUGUGUGUGUGUGUGCUUGUGUGUGUGUCUGUGCCCUGCAGUGGGCUUGUGUGCAUGCAGAUUGUGUGUGUGUGUCUGUGCCCUGCAGAGGGAUUGUGUGCAUGCAGAUUGUGUGUGUGUGUCUGUGCCCUGCAGAGGGAUUGUGUGCAUGCAGAUUGCGUAUGUGUGUGUGUGUCUGUGUGCGCUGGGCUUGUGCACAUUGUGUACCUCGCUGGAUUUUAAACUUUUAGUUGGACAUUUCCCCCCGAAGACACAAGCACAGCGAAACAAAGAGUGGAGAAAAGACGCAGAGGACGCUGAAUACAAAGACAGACACGCGGCGGUCGAUAAGCGGCCUGCGGCUCGCCGGCGAGGAUCACCGGACGCCACGUUGAGCCCUCUUCAGCCUCGACGUGGGACUCGGCUAAAUGUCAGCCGGCUGGCGCUUUGUGGACGGGAAUCAGGCGCCAUUGUCUGUGUUGUUUGGGACGGCUGCUGUUCAUGUAGUCUUUUUUUUGAGCAAAAUGGGAGAGGGCAAGACGGGGGGAGGAAAGUGUGGGGGGGGGGCUAAGCGUUUAAUCUCCUGCGGCGCGAAAACACAAACCGCCUUGUAAUCGUCCGACCUUGACACCGGCAGCAAGGUCGCGAGGGAGCCGGCGAGCUUCGCGUUUCCCACGGACGCUUCGCCCAGACGCAAAGGAGCAUUAUUGGGAUGGACGGAGAGGGAUAUCGAGUCCGUCUCCCUCCCUCCUCCACCCGCCAGCACCUCCUCCUCCUGCUCCUGCUGCUCCAGCACAUCUGGGACUGAUGAGGAAGUCAGCAAUGGUCUGAAGUUAAACAUCAUAGAGGGAACUCUGCUAAUUACAAGACUUUAUUUUGUAUCCAAGCGAAUUUGUUUAGUUCUCAGAGAGGAUGAUUCGCUCCAGAGGCUGCGUGGCCGGGUGAAUGCCUCAUUGCUCAGGAAGAAAACAAAGAGAACCAAACAUUUAACAUGGGAAUAACAUUUAAAUGGAGAGAAAAAUAUGAAUUCUUUUGCCUGCUUUCAAAACUAAACAGAAAUAGCGAACAAUGAGCUAAUUGUUUCUCUUAGUAUCUGUAUGUUGGGAUUCACACACUGAGUGCGCUCAUGUAUUAAUGCUGUGCGUGUGUGUGUGUGUGUGUUUGGCUCUGUGCGUCGGCCCUUGUGUCAGCUUCAUGUAAUUAAGGUCCUUUGUCCUCACGUCGCCUCCAGGCUUGAAUAUGCUGUGAGUGGAGAUAUGAUUCUGCAGGCCCAUUUAAUGUCUGUUUACCCCUGUUGGAUUAUAAUGAACUGUGCUCUGUGAACAAAGCCUCCUCAGCAUCUUAUCAACACAAAGUUCCUUCUGGAUGUGCAUCCAUCUCUCGUAGCGGUUAAACAGCCUUCACAAUGUCCCAUAACACAGAUGUAAUGUUACACACCUGGACUUUAGAUUCAGUAGUGUGCCUUUAUUUAUUUAUCUGUACGAAUUAUGAUUGUACUUUCCCCGUUUUAUGUUGCUGUUUUCCCUCCGUCUGACGUUGAGUUAAUUCGCGCAGUGCGUCUGGUUUCUCCUUUUAUAUUCACCCUGGUUUCCAUGGCAAAUAGCACAGCUUGUUAACAUCAAAGGUAGAAAAGAAAAAAGGCAGAACCAGUGCUUGAGAUCUCACAAGAUGAAACAGUGCUAAAAAACCCAACGGGGUCAUUGAAGGGUGAAGCUUUGCUUUUACUCCAAAACUUUGUAUGUGAUGUUAUAACGGUACUUUUUAUGUUGCUGCCGUCCUUUAAGCAAUUCAACUGUGCAGACCGGCGUUAACCCCCGAUUCUCAAAGGUCACUGCUGCAGAUCCUUGAACCUGCAUUCUCUGUAGUGACCAGCAGGGGGCGACUCCUCUGCUCCCAUAGACGUCUAUGAGGAAAUGACUCUACUUCUCUGUAGUGACCAGCAGGGGGCGACUCC
ensembl:lncRNA